UUUUUUAGUACGUUUGUUCCGUUUGGAACAGGCUAAGGUCGGAGACCAUGCUGCCUAGUCUUCAAAAAGAUAAAUUGUCUGGAAUUUUAUUUUUCUAAUGUCGCUUCAAUUAUUGUCAUAAUCUUCAAUAUUUCAUUUGUCAAAUCCGAUGCUGCAACGCUCAGAAUUCUUACAGAAUUUAGCUAAAUGUCCAUACCUCAAGCACCGGUAGCAUUGUUUAACUGGUGGUAUAUAUGGAGUGACAUUGUGGCGCCAACCUCCAAUAUCCAGAUAUUCAGGUAAUACAGAUGCAGCAAAAGUAAUUGUCACGGUUAGAGUUGGCUGUAACACAUAUCCAUGAGUCAAGAUUCUGAGUCAGUAGAAGUAUCUUCCGAAUAUAUAUCCUUGUCAUUACAAGGUUCAUGGUCUACAUCACCUGAAUCGUCAUCUUUUUUUUUCCUUUUUCUACAACUGCGCUUCCCCAUGAAUGCUAAUUAUAUUACUGUCGCUGAAUUUAGUGAAAAUAUAAUAUUUUAUUCAAUAAUAAGAAUUGAUAGAGAUAGUUUUAAUAAAUUAAUAAAAAAAAUUUAAAAAACCCGCUUGUUCUUAUUCGAGUUUCCCGCC